GAUGAACGCUGGCGGCGUGCCUAAUACAUGCAAGUCGAGCGAACGGACGAGAAGCUUGCUUUUCUGAUGUUAGCGGCGGACGGGUGAGUAACACGUGGAUAACCUACCUAUAAGACUGGGAUAACUUCGGGAAACCGGAGCUAAUACCGGAUAAUAUUUUGAACCGCAUGGUUCAAAAGUGAAAGACGGUCUUGCUGUCACUUAUAGAUGGAUCCGCGCUGCAUUAGCUAGUUGGUAAGGUAAAGGCUUACCAAGGCAACGAUGCAUAGCCGACCUGAGAGGCUGAUCGGCCACACUGGAACUGAGACACGGUCCAUACUCCUACGGGACGCCGCAGUAGCCAAUCUUCCGCAGUGGUCGAAAGCCUGACGCAGCAACGCCGCGUCAGUUAUGAAGAUCUUCGGAUCGUAAAGCUCUGUUAUUAGGGAAGAACCUAUGUGUAAGUAACUGUGCACAUCUUGACGGUACCUAAUCAGAAAGCCACGGCUAACUACGUG
rnacentral:rRNA from 1 species